rnacentral:rRNA from 1 species
UACGUAGGGUGCAAGCGUUAAUCGGAAUUACUGGGCGUAAAGCGUGCGCAGGCGGUGAUGUAAGACAGGUGUGAAAUCCCCGGGCUUAACCUGGGAACUGCAUUUGUGACUGCAUCGCUGGAGUGCGGCAGAGGGGGGUAGAAUUCCACGUGUAGCAGUGAAAUGCGUAGAUAUGUGGAGGAACACCGAUGGCGAAGGCAGCCCCCUGGGUCAAAACUGACGCUCAUGCACGAAAGCGUGGGGAGCAAACAGG